GAUGAACGCUGGCGGCGUGCCUAAUACAUGCAAGUCGAGCGAACAGAUGAGGAGCUUGCUCCUCUGACGUUAGCGGCGGACGGGUGAGUAACACGUGGAUAACCUACCUAUAAGACUGGGAUAACUUCGGGAAACCGGAGCUAAUACCGGAUAAUAUAUUGAACCGCAUGGUUCAAUAGUGAAAGACGGUUUUGCUGUCACUUAUAGAUGGAUCCGCGCCGCAUUAGCUAGUUGGUAAGGUAACGGCUUACCAAGGCAACGAUGCGUAGCCGACCGGAGGGGGUGGUGGGCCGCCAGGAAAGGGAGGCGCGCCCGAGCCGACUGGGGGGGGCAGCAGAAGGGUAGGGUACGGAAUGGUGGGAGGAGUGACGGGGCAGCGCCGGGGGGUUAAGGAUGGUCUCCGUAUGGUAAAGAACGUUUUUGGGGGGAGAAGAAGGGUGUGCUAAAAUUGGUGGGGUUGACGGUAACCAGGUCAGAAAGCGCCGGCUAACUACGUG
rnacentral:rRNA from 1 species